rnacentral:rRNA from 1 species
GACGGAAGGUGCAAGCGUUGCUCGGAAUCACUGGGCGUAAAGGGUGCGUAGGCGGCCGCGCAAGUCUGGCGUGAAAGCCCCGGGCUCAGCCCGGGAAGGGCGCUCGAAACGGCGCGGCUCGAGUGCCGGAGGGGAGAGUGGAAUUCCUGGUGUAGCGGUGAAAUGCGUAGAUAUCAAGAGGAACACCUGCGGCGAAGGCGGGUUGCUGGGCUGACACUGACGCUGAACUGCGAAAGCUAGGGGAGCGAACGGG